ensembl:rRNA 5S_rRNA 5S ribosomal RNA
GCUUACGGCCCCCAUACCACCUUAGGCACGCCCGAUCUCGUCUGAUCUCGGAAGCUAAGCAGGGUCGGGCCUGGUUAGUGUCUUGGAUGGGUGACCGCCUGGGAAUACCAGGUGCUGUAAGCA